AUGCUUACCUGGCAGAGAAUAUGCCAUGGUCACGAAGGUGGUUUUCCCAGGGCGAGGCUUAUCCAUUGCACUCUGCAUGUGCUGACCCCUGUGAUUUCCCUAAAUGUGGAAACUUGACUGCAUAAUUUGUGGCAGUGGGGAACUGCACUUGUGCUCUUCCCUU
ensembl:snRNA U1 U1 spliceosomal RNA